rnacentral:lncRNA from 1 species
CUUAGAAUAAAAUAGGUUUUUGAUGUACUUUUUCAUUGUUGUGAAAUCAUAAGACAAACAUUACAAAAGUCAUAUUGUGUUGAUAAAUAUACUUAUUUUGUCCAUCUGAUGAGUUAAGCCUUAUUUAACUGAUUUGUAUAGUUCAUUCUUAUGUUGUACUGUUAUAUCACUGUCCCAGGUUAAGCGGAGGUUUGGGAUCAAGCUAACAUGUUUAACCCCGCCACAUUAUGUAUGUUUGUGUCUGUCCUAAGUCAGGACCCUGAAAUUCAGUGGUUGUCGUUUGAUUAUGUGUUACAUGUUUGUUUUUCGUUCAUGUUUUGUACAAUAAUAAAGCCGUUAGUUUUCUCUUAUGAAUUGUUUUACAUUGUAAUUUUGGGGCCUUUUAUAACUGACUAUGUGGUGUGGGGUUUGUUCAUUGUUGAAGGCAGUACGGUGAAUUAUAGUUGUUAAUUUAUGUGUCAUUUUGGUCUCUUGUGGAGAGUUGUCUCAUUGGCAAUCAUGCAACAUCUUCUAUUUUUAUCUUAAGCCCUUAUAUUUCGCAUGUUUCCCUUAAUCUGAAGAUAGCAGCGGAGCAAUAAAAAGCCAAUUCGCUUAAUGACACACAUCACGUGUGCAAUAUCAUGACCAGUAUUUGUAUCAACUUAAAAUGUCAACGCAAUUUUUCAAUACUCUUUGUUGUUCAUAACUCAUGAUAUAUUUACUGUUAUUAGUUUUUUAUGUGGUCUUAAAAAUACAUGUUGUGAGUGUUACUGUUGGGUGUCUGCAUACAAGUAUAUUGCUUACAUGUAAAUAUGUUUCUGUUAAUUUUUAAUUUGGUACAUUGUAUUCUAACACCAUUUCUAGAUGAUGUGUUCAAUAUAUAUGUAAAUAAAAAAGC